AACGCUAGCUACAGGCUUAACACAUGCAAGUCGAGGGGCAGCACGGGAGUAGCAAUACAACUGGUGGCGACCGGCGCACGGGUGAGUAACGCGUAUGCAACCUACCUAUCAGAGGGGAAUAACCCGGCGAAAGUCGGACUAAUACCGCAUAAAACAGGGGCACCGCAUGGUGAUAUUUGUUAAAGAAAUUCGCUGAUAGAUGGGCAUGCGUUCCAUUAGGUAGUUGGUGAGGUAACGGCUCACCAAGCCGACGAUGGAUAGGGGAACUGAGAGGUUGGUCCCCCACACUGGUACUGAGACACGGACCAGACUCCUACGGGAGGCAGCAGUGAGGAAUAUUGGUCAAUGGGCGAGAGCCUGAACCAGCCAAGUCGCGUGAAGGAAGAAGGAUCUAUGGUUCGUAAACUUCUUUUGCAGGGGAAUAAAGUGCAGGACGUGUCCUGUUUUGUAUGUACCCUGAGAAUAAGGAUCGGCUAACUCCGUGCCAGCAGCCGCGGUAAUACGGAGGAUCCGAGCGUUAUCCGGAUUUAUUGGGUUUAAAGGGUGCGUAGGUGGUUUUAUAAGUCAGCGGUGAAAGUUUGCAGCUUAACUGUAAAAAUGCCGUUGAAACUGUAAGACUUGAGUGUAAAUGAGGUAGGCGGAAUGCGUGGUGCAGCGGUGAAAUGCAUAGAUAUCACGAAGAACUCCGAUUG
rnacentral:rRNA from 1 species